AAUGAAAAGUUCCCAGGGGCUGUGGUGGUUAGCAGGGCAUCCAUGGCCUUGGUGGGAGUGGUCUUGGUGGAAUGGUGGGUACGGAAGUCAGAAUAAAUGAAGUCAGGGGUGAAUGCCAUGUGAGUCUGUGGGGGCAGUAAGUGUAUUUUAUUCUUAUGAGACACUUGGAUGAGAAGGUAAGACCAGACCUACGGUGGUAGCUGGAGGGAGAGGGAAGGGCAAGAUCUAAGAUACUUUUUCUUAGGAUGGGAACGAUUUGAGCAUGUUCAGAGGUUGAAGGGAAGCAACCAGUCACAGGGGAGCCAUGAAAGAUCCUGGAGAUGACGAGAAUGGCUCCUCGCGUGGGUCAGAACAGGUGGCAAGGGACGAGGUCUGUGGCACUGUGAAGGUCAGUCCUUGACCAGGGAGGCACCCCUCUUCCACCAUGCUAGGGCCGGGGGAGAGGACCGGUGUGGGUGCAGAGGCAGCUGUUAGGGUGGGGGGCAAUAAUUAGAGGUGGUUCGUGCUUGAUUUUCUCCAGCAGGCAAGAGACGCACUCCCUCUGGUUGGAGUUUCAUCAUCUCACCACCAGAAAAACCAGAGUUUUAAGGUUCCCGCUUGAUGAAGUUGGCUUGACGCAAAGCAAUAAUGAAAGUUGCCAAUGGAGAAUGUGGCAGGAAUCAGCCCGGGUGUCAAAUUCACUCAGCUCCUGUGUGCAAAUAGAUAAUUACGAGGCGUCUCUACCAGUUGAAGGGAUCAAGAUUCUUCUCCUGCGCCAUAAAACACAUCCUUUGAUAAAUUAUUUCGCCGUCUAUCCCCAAGUGCACCUCUCCAUGCAAGCCUCCCCUCCCCCGGCCAGCAGCCGCCCGAACGGCAGCUCUCCAUAUAUUAUUCAUUCCAAUCAAAUAAGACACAGUGGUGCCUCAGUAAACUUGCUUUUCAUAUCAGAAUUGCUCUUAUUGAGUAAUACACACUGCAGACCCCAGCUUCCAGCACCAGGCCUGAAAUGAGCAAUUCUCUCAUUGUAAUAAUGUGCCUCUGUCAUCUCCUUAUUAUCAGCAUGAUAAAAGAUGAAAUAUUCACAGAUGCUGCCCUCCUAACCUGAUCACAGCUUGAUAUUUGAGCUUUGGAAAUGAGUUUUAUAAGCUUUAAUAUACUCCUUGGCGGAGUGACCCCUGAAAUUAAACAUUAUUACAGAGCGGAUAUUUAAAAAGCUGGGGCCGCAAAUUACAUCAAAAUGAAAAUAUUAAGGAGUAUUACGAAUAUACCAAGUGGGAGCUCACAGCUCUGGAAGCCGUGAACGCCGGAGAACUCCACACGCGAGUGUCAAAAACAUCAGAAAAAAUAAUAACAGCAGAGACACCUUGACUUCGGUUAUUUUAUACUUAGGACUAAACGAAAUUAUUUGAAUGGAUUUUUUUUUCCUCCUGUAGGCUAGCUUUCCAGGAGGAAAAAAAAAAGCCCAUUAUUCUCAACUUUAGGUUCCUAAUACAUUUCACGCUUGGUUUAAAGAGGCACCUUCCUUUUUCCUUUUUUUUUUUUUCCUAGUGCAUGGAUAAAUAAAAGAAAUACCUAAAUAUAAUGAAACCA
rnacentral:lncRNA from 1 species